GUACACUCCUACGGGAGGCAGCAGUGGGGAAUAUUGGACAAUGGGCGCAAGCCUGAUCCAGCCAUGCCGCGUGAGUGAUGAAGGCCCUAGGGUUGUAAAGCUCUUUCACCGGUGAAGAUAAUGACGGUAACCGGAGAAGAAGCCCCGACUAACUUCGUGCCAGCAGCCGCGGUAAUACGAAGGGGGCUGGCGUUGUUCGGAUUUACUGGGCGUAAAGCGCACGUAGGCGGACUAUUAAGUCAGGGGUGAAAUCCCGGGGCUCAACCCCGGAACUGCCUUUGAUACUGGUAGUCUUGAGUUCGAGAGAGGUGAGUGGAAUUCCGAGUGUAGAGGUGAAAUUCGUAGAUAUUCGGAGGAACACCAGUGGCGAAGGCGGCUCACUGGCUCGAUACUGACGCUGAGGUGCGAAAGCGUGGGGAGCAAACAGGAUUAGAUACCCUUGUAGUCCCAUGA
rnacentral:rRNA from 1 species